rnacentral:rRNA from 1 species
UACGAAGGGUGCAAACGUUGCUCGGAAUCAUUGGGCGUAAAGCGCACGUAGGCGGCUUGCCAAGUCGGACGUGAAAUCCCUCAGCUCAACUGAGGACGUGCAUCCGAAACUGGCGAGCUUGAGUACUGAAGAGGAUCGCGGAAUUCCCGGUGUAGAGGUGAAAUUCGUAGAUAUCGGGAGGAACACCAGUGGCGAAGGCGGCUAUCUGGACGACAACUGACGCUGAGGCGCGAAAGCGUGGGGAUCAAACAGG